AGCUAAAUACAUAUAAACAGAAACAAUCCUUUCUCUCUCUCUCUCUCUCUAAACAAAUCCUUCUCUCGUAUGUGCAAGAAGCAAAUGUGAACACUGCAAAGUUCUUUCAUAGGUUUCAAUAAGCAUUGAGCUAUUACUCCGGUGUCUGACAAGCAUUGAGCUAUUACUCCGGUGUUUGAGACUGUUGACUACGGUGAUGGUUGGGAGCUCCCCCAAGCACACAUAUUCAAGAUCAUUCAACAAUUAUCCUUCACACUUACCCUCAAACAGUCAGCACCACCCAGUGUUAGUGAUUUGUCGGAGAUGAAGGUUGUGGUGCUUUUGGAGAUGGUGGUGUUGGUUGCUCAAGGUUGAAGGAAUGAAGGUGGUGGCCACACGAUGGUGGUGGGAUAAAGAGAGGGAUAAGAUAUGGUGGUGUUGAUUAUUAAAUCAAUGAUUUCUUAACAAAAUAUUUCACUCAUACCAUAGGGAUGCAAAGUGUUAUUAAUAUAUGCCAAAAGACGGUCUUACCCCUGGCUCAAACAGUCAAACUGACGGCACAUUGACGGAGGGACUCAAAGUGUUAUGAAUUCAUAAGUUCAGCGGCUCAAAAAACAAAAAAAAUGAAUUUAGAGGCUCAGGUUGAUGUUUCACACAAACCACAGGGACGCAAAUUGCAUUUUUCUCUUCAUUUUAUUAUAAAUUAUUAGUUUGAUCUAAAUCUAUAAUACUAUAAAAAGGAGAAGUGAUGUACAAGAUGGUAAUUUUGCCAUAUUUACAACUUAUAAAACAUCAUGUACAAGGAUGUAUAAGCCAUUUUAAAAGGGUUUUACUCAAAAUUUUAAGACACUUCAGGGGUAAACUAGGCUUUUCACCCAAUGAAUUAAAUGGGAUUUGAUGCUAGCCUGCAAAUGAAGCGUCUCGCCUCCAUACCACACACGGUUACAUAUCUCUCCUCAUCUCUACGAAAACCACCUCAAAUCUUAUUAUUCUCCUUCGUCACUCUCAUCCACCACCCCUACGCCACCAUAACCGCUGCCAUGGGAGACGAUUCCGGCAUGGACGCUCUUCACAUUCUCGAGUUUUCGUUUAACUUCAAUCGCUUAUCUAAAUUUGUUUUCAUUGCGGCCGUAACCCCAACUCAAAUCCUCAUCCAACUGUCUUAGAGGUAUAAUAUUUCAGAUUUGUUAUCUUUUAGUUUUGAAAUUCGAUUAUAUAAAACCCUAGAUGUUUUGUGUUAAUUGACGUUUGUUUCUAUCCAAGUUCGGGUUUUUAUUUGGGGGUUUAUGUUAGUUUGAAGCUGUGUGAUUGAUGAAGAAAGUAAUAGAUAAGAUGAUCAAUUGGGAAUUUCUUGUGGAAUAAAAGGAUUUCUUUUGUUAAAUGGGAGUAGAAGUGUUUUAAAUUAGGUUAAAUAAAUUUGUAAAUUAGCAAUUUUGUGUAACCAUUUGAAUCUAUGAUGGUUAGUUAUGUUGUAGCUGGUUUGAAGUUGGAUGACUUGAUACUGAUUACUUGAUUUGUCGAUACCUCGAUAGUUAUAAGAGGAAUCUGUUUAUCUGCCCCUUCACAGAACAUGUUAUUGUGACCUCAAGUCACAUUAAUUAAAUAAUUAGUUCCAUAAGGACAGUCGAAACGCCCCUUAAUGAUUAUGAUUUUCUGAUUAUUUUUGGGUAAAAUAAUAAGACACUAAAAAUUCAGAAUAGGUGACCUCAAUUAGGUUUUUUUUGUUUCAAUGUUAGUUGGUGUUGAUUGUCUUACAGAUUAGAUCAACUUCAUCCUCAAUGGCACCACAACGCUUUCAUGACGUUCGAGAAAGUGCCCGAUCAGAUGUUCCUACCAUGCUCCAUUUGUGCGCAGAGGUAACACGUUAUUGAUUAUAUGUAUAAACGGAGAUUUGUAUGAUUUAUCGAGUUUAAGUUUUUGAUAAUAUAAUGAAUUAAGUUUGGUUCUGAUUAAUCACGAUUAUAGUAUGAGUUUUGUGGAUUAUUUAGAUCAAAUCAUCUAUCGGUUUUUACACCUAAUUGUGAAUUCAAUUCACUUCACGGAAGUACUGGGAGCUUUGUGUGUUAAUAGGGGUCUUGGGGCGGACCUGUUUCGGAUCUUGUUAAAUUUUAUAAGAACUAUCUUAAAGAUUUGAACAAAAAGGUAUCCGGUCAAUUUUUAAGAAGGCAGCAUGUAGUCAGGUUAGUCUCUCCUCUACCCUUUUGGCCAAUUUUUGGAAAACAAAAGUCAGCAUAAUGCCUUUUUGGGUCGGUUUAUGUCAGCUAGGGCUGUGUAACAAUGUCCGAUUUGUGACAGUCACCUCUAUUUCCAUCCCACCCCCAGUUAAGAACAACACAUUGAUUAACGAUGAAGAAGCAUACAGGAUGAUAUUGGAGAUCCAGGGUUUGGUCGAAGGUUUCAUGGUACAACUAGGUAAUUAUCUUAUAUAUAAGACUAUUAGAAAGUUGAGUGAUUGGAUAAGGAGCCAGUCUUGUCGACUAAGCCUUGCAAAACAGGUAGGUUGAGUGAUGAAUCAGACUGGGUUUGGGUGAAAACGGGUUUUGAGAAAAAAAUGCGUUCGGCUGGUGAUCCAAUUGUGUAAACUAGCAGAUGUGGGCGCCAAAACAUAUAUUCUACAAAUUGGCACACGAUGUCAACAUCUGUACUUUUUUUGGAGACUAGAUCUAGAGGGUCUGUUUCGUUCAUCUACGAGUUUUGACCCAUUUUUAUCAAGUUCGUCUCUCUUGGCGAUUAAGGUGUCUACGGUGAUUUAGCAGCGUGUUAGUGUGUGGUCCGGUGUUCUGCAAAUUUUCGCCUUUUCGGUUAGAGGCCUUUUGGAGUUUCACUGUCAUGUGGGAUUGUCAAAGCAAAAAUUAGAAGUGUUUCAUGGCAUUGUCAUAUUGGUGUGUUGGCGGAUAUGGAAAGUGAGGAAUGAGAUGUUUUUUCCCGAGUAUCGAGGUGGAAAUAAAAGACAUUAUAGGAGACGUAAGGUCUAUAUGGUUAUUUUGGUUCAAGAAUAUAUCAAAGGGUAAAUCGUUAGAAUGGUCAAAAAAAAAAAAAAAUGGCACAAUCCCAUUUUUGUUCCAUCAGAUCCUUGUUUCCUAAUUAAUGAGAUUUGAGAGGUGUUUAGCAGUAUACAUACUGUAGGGUUUUUUUCCAUAAAAAACAAGCAAGGUGUGACUGGUAAGUUGACUUUUGGACUUUGACAACAUGUUUUUUCAACUA